rnacentral:rRNA from 2 species
GAAGGUGUGCUGUGAGGCAUGCUGGAGGUAUCAGAAGUGCGAAUGCUGACAUAAGUAACGAUAAAGCGGGUGAAAAGCCCGCUCGCCGGAAGACCAAGGGUUCCUGUCCAACGUUAAUCGGGGCAGGGUGAGUCGACCCCUAAGGCGAGGCCGAAAGGCGUAGUCGAUGGGAAACAGGUUAAUAUUCCUGUACUUGGUGUUACUGCGAAGGGGGGACGGAGAAGGCUAUGUUGGCCGGGCGACGGUUGUCCCGGUUUAAGCGUGUAGGCUGGUUUUCCAGGCAAAUCCGGAAAAUCAAGGCUGAGGCGUGAUGACGAGGCACUACGGUGCUGAAGCAACAAAUGCCCUGCUUCCAGGAAAAGCCUCUAAGCAUCAGGUAACAUCAAAUCGUACCCCAAACCGACACAGGUGGUCAGGUAGAGAAUACCAAGGCGCUUGAGAGAACUCGGGUGAAGGAACUAGGCAAAAUGGUGCCGUAACUUCGGGAGAAGGCACGCUGAUAUGUAGGUGAAGUCCCUCGCGGAUGGAGCUGAAAUCAGUCGAAGAUACCAGCUGGCUGCAACUGUUUAUUAAAAACACAGCACUGUGCAAACACGAAAGUGGACGUAUACGGUGUGACGCCUGCCCGGUGCCGGAAGGUUAAUUGAUGGGGUUAGCCGCAAGGCGAAGCUCUUGAUCGAAGCCCCGGUAAACGGCGGCCGUAACUAUAACGGUCCUAAGGUAGCGAAAUUCCUUGUCGGGUAAGUUCCGACCUGCACGAAUGGCGUAAUGAUGGCCAGGCUGUCUCCACCCGAGACUCAGUGAAAUUGAACUCGCUGUGAAGAUGCAGUGUACCCGCGGCAAGACGGAAAGACCCCGUGAACCUUUACUAUAGCUUGACACUGAACAUUGAGCCUUGAUGUGUAGGAUAGGUGGGAGGCUUAGAAGUGUGGACGCCAGUCUGCAUGGAGCCGACCUUGAAAUACCACCCUUUAAUGUUUGAUGUUCUAACGUUGACCCGUAAUCCGGGUUGCGGACAGUGUCUGGUGGGUAGUUUGACUGGGGCGGUCUCCUCCUAAAGAGUAACGGAGGAGCACGAAGGUUGGCUAAUCCUGGUCGGACAUCAGGAGGUUAGUGCAAUGGCAUAAGCCAGCUUGACUGCGAGCGUGACGGCGCGAGCAGGUGCGAAAGCAGGUCAUAGUGAUCCGGUGGUUCUGAAUGGAAGGGCCAUCGCUCAACGGAUAAAAGGUACUCCGGGGAUAACAGGCUGAUACCGCCCAAGAGUUCAUAUCGACGGCGGUGUUUGGCACCUCGAUGUCGGCUCAUCACAUCCUGGGGCUGAAGUAGGUCCCAAGGGUAUGGCUGUUCGCCAUUUAAAGUGGUACGCGAGCUGGGUUUAGAACGUCGUGAGACAGUUCGGUCCCUAUCUGCCGUGGGCGCUGGAGAACUGAGGGGGGCUGCUCCUAGUACGAGAGGACCGGAGUGGACGCAUCACUGGUGUUCGGGUUGUCAUGCCAAUGGCACUGCCCGGUAGCUAAAUGCGGAAGAGAUAAGUGCUGAAAGCAUCUAAGCACGAAACUUGCCCCGAGAUGAGUUCUCCCUGACUCCUUGAGAGUCCUGAAGGAACGUUGAAGACGACGACGUUGAUAGGCCGGGUGUGUAAGCGCAGCGAUGCGUUGAGCUAACCGGUACUAAUGAACCGUGAGGCUUAACCUUACAACGCCGAAG